rnacentral:lncRNA from 1 species
UCUGGCAGGGGUUUCUAUAUCGAAAUACAAUGAAAUGUAGAUGAGAGAAAGAGAAGUUGGAAGAGCCGAUAACUAAUCCCAAUUAAUGGAAACUGCUAGAUGGGCAAUUUACAUUAUCCCAGAAAAAAUAGGGAUAAUUUGUGAUCAGGUGGGCUUCCUAACCACUUUCAAUCCCACAUAGUUUUAGACGAGAAGGUGGUACCAUGAUCUUAUUGGACAAUAACAUCACCCGAUGUCCAAAAAGGCCCUUAAGGUGCUUUGAUGGGCAUAUCUAUGUUCUCAUUUAUAUUCCGUUUUUAAUUCUUAUUUAGAAAAGCUCCAGACGUCAUAAGGACAGGUUUUGGAAUCUGUACUGGUACUCUUGUUUCAAAUUGAAAUUCUUUUGUGAACUCUAACUUGAAUAAACAUACAAAAUCUAGGGGCUAGCUAGUAAAUAUAAAAAGUUGUUUGGUCAGCUGGUAAAAUAAUUUGGGAGUUAUUUUGAUUAAAUGAAAGACAACGAAGAGUUUGUAACCAUCGCCAAUCCCCUCUCCCUCUAUUUUUGAGAUGAUGGGUAAGGCCCAUCAAAGUUUAUUGUGAUUAUAAAUUGUUGCAAGAUGAGACUUGUGGUAAUGGGUACCCAAACCCCAGUGACUGUACCCACUGAAUUAGUUGGCACCCUUAAUUCUUCCCUUUUUCGAAUUCUUCUCCGCAAUAAACUUUCUCUAAAUCCCUUUUCCUUUCUUAUCUUCUUUUUUUGUUAAUAAAGACCCUUGAUCUGAACAAAGCUUCAACAUAUUUGAGUUAUUUUCAGCAUUCUAUUUCUUUGAUCAUUUACAAGUAUUGAGAUCCAGGAGAAAUUAAAGUCAAAACCCAAACAGAACGUUAGAAUCCUGUCACAUACCUUCUUUUGGUAUGCCCAUUAAAUAUUGAUUGGCCCACAUAUGUAUUAAAUUCAGCAAAAAAGUCCUAUGUUGAUUAGGAUUAACUUUGAAUCUUGAAUAAGGCCACAAAACACUACAAGUUUUACUAUUCAACUAGAGCCAAAUUUGAAGAUCCAAACUAGAGUAUUGUCUCAUAUGGGAAACUCAUUUAGUUGCAUAUUAUUUAUUUUAUCAUAGAUUUUAGGUAGUUCAUCAAGACAGAGUGAGUGAGAGGUAGUUCAAAUCCAUGAAAGGCUCCUAUUAGAUAAGGUCAUAAUAGACUAGCACAUGUGAUCUGAGAAAGGAUGGAAUCUCAUUCCUGAAGAGAUCGAAGUACAUUGAACAUUGUAAUGCAAAAAAAGAAGGUAGCCUCAAAUUAAUAUAUUGAUAACAAAUAAGAAUUCAAGGAUAGAUUGGUCACUUCUGAGGGACAACUAGAAACACUUGCAAUCUUUUUCCAUUGUAAACAAAUAUUUGCCUUGCAGUGGUAGUUCUCUCGAGGCUUGGAUUGAAUAAGCUCCCAAACUGAUUGAUCACUUUUGCCACAAGGCUGCUUUCAUGGUUAUGACAGUCGAAGACAAACUCAAAGGAGGCCUCUCUGCUAGAGCUAGCACAAAACGUGGUGACUAAGAGUGAAGGCAACCAUAAGAAAAAUUUGCAUCAUAGUGCUCCCCUCAAGCUAUAAGCACUAAAAGAAUGGCAGACUGGAGCAACAAUUUCGAGACAUGUUAUAACAUGCAAUUGUUCACUAUGGUUAUCAACUCUGGAAGUUGUCUUAAUGUGGUGUAAGUGGAUGGCAGUUCGAAUGCAAUGGCUCACAUAUGAAGCCCAAGAAGGUCGUGUGGGCCUAAAAUGCCAUCAAACAUUACUAGAGGAUUCAUUGAGAUGAAAUGCAUCAUGCUACAUGUGAAGGUGUGGCAUGAAUUGCUCUAAGCAUGAAUACUGCCAAACGAAGUACAUAUAAGCUCAAGACUUGCCACCAAUAAGCUCAAGAAAACUACAAGCUGUACAGCACAAGACUGAUCAAUCAAUCAAUCAAUCAGGUUAUGUGCCCAUGAUGACAGCAUAUCAAAGAUCAAAUCGCUGUACAAUGACUCAAACUGCUUGUUAAUGCAAAGACUGCUAGCAGUCCAAGCGUAACUGAUUCCUAAAGUGGUGUUUUCUGAAAGAAUCUGAAAAAUUUUUGGAGGAUUUUACUAGCCAUAACUGUUUAGAAAAUUUUCUGAUGUUCCAGGAGCCUGAUAUGGGUGCUCAAUAUAGGAGGUUUAUUCUUUUGUGAUGUCCAGGAUGGACUCAUAUAUGAAUUUUAGUGUGAGCAAAUAAGAGGAGGAGUUGUUUGGCUUGCUGUUAAGAUGAUUUUAUUUUGGCUCAAGAAGGGAAAACUGAGGCUCGACUAUUUUCUUUUCUGUUCCUAGUCCUCUCUCUCACACACACACAUUAGUUCCUCUCUUUGAUCUGCCCAGUUCGGGACAGUUCCGCCGGCCCUAGUUUGCACUUAUUCAUAAACUCUGAACCACAACUACUAAAAAAGCGGUCAUUACACUAGCAAAGCCUCAGAAAAACAUUCUUAAAGUUUUCAUACCUACAUCAUACCUCAAACAACCAGCUCUUAAUCCUAGAACCAUAGAUAGGCCCUCCAUUUUCUUCUUAUAUCUGAAACUUUGGAUCAUACCAAAACUUGUCCUUUUUCAGUGUGGUCAUAUUGAUUGGUUGUCAUCACAAAUCCUCUACAACUCCAUGAAAAUAGCAGCAGUUGCUUGAUUAUGGGUGUGCAUAUGACAAACCACCACUGUAUGACUAAUAACUUAACAAACUUGAGAAGAUGGAUGGGACUAAUCAAAAGGGAUAUCCAUGAAAACUAAUGAAUUCUUUUUUUUCAUAUUUCACCUAUCAGAAGGUCUAGGGGUUUAAGUUUAAAAUCUACAAAGAUAUAAGUUUAAAAGAUAAGUGCGAAGGAAUAGAUAGCCUUUAGUAGCUGUGAAUUGUUUUGAGUCAUUGAUACAAGGAACUCAUAUCAAAAAUUAAAAGUAAUUAAUGGUUUUAGAGUUGUGAUUCACUUAGAACUAGUGCUUCAUCAAAUACUUUUAUAGUUAUUGGUGUUUCACCAAUCUAAUGUUUUAUAGGACUUUAUCAUUAUCAUUAUCAUCAUCAUCAUCAGUAUAUUUUGUUUUGUUUCUUUUUGAAAUUUAAAUUAUAUUUGACAUCCGAAUUUUUGGAAUUUUUAAUGUGACUCUUGAUGGUAGAAAGCAAGUUCUGAUAAUAAUUCCCAUGUGACACCAUAAAGUUAGAUUAUCAAUAACAGUUACUAUUCAAUUUGCAAAGAAAUACAAUCGUAAUGUGUCAUUCUCUUAGAUAGAACCCAAGACUUCUUCCCAAGAAGGGAAGGUGUACCAGUUGGAACAACUUGCUUGGAAUAAGUGAAUGGACUUACGGACUACUAACCAAAAAAAAAUUGUAUCCUUAUAUUUUUAUAAAGUUAAAUUAUUUAACAAUCAAUAUUUGGAUUCUAUGCAUUUUACACAUGUAGUUUUACUAGUCAAGUUUAAAAGUUUAAAUAAGUAGAUAUUUCCCAUUGUCAUAGAAUUUUGAUGCACACAAAGACAUGUGCAUGGGCACCUCACAUGCACAUGUACCUGUGCAUAUACAACACAAUGCAGACCUCCCACACCCCUGAACAUGCAUACAUGUAUGCACCAACAAACAUAUAUGCAUGCAUGCACACAUACAUACGCAGACACACUAUCCACCAGCUUUUACUCCCUUAAGGAAAUCCUAGAAUUUACUAAUUUGUUUGCCUAUAGGUCUAUGGUAAAUUUAAACUUCACUAGCUUUGCAUCAACAAAGCCAUACAUGGCUUUGAAAGCAUCCAAGAGUUCUUUGGAACUUUCCAUAAAAUAUA